GCAGUCGUGGCCGAGUGGUUAAGGCAAUAGACUAGAAAUUUAUUGGGGUCACCCUGCACAGGUUCGAAUCCUGUCAACUGCG
rfam:Ixodes scapularis strain Wikel colony gcontig_1107728573812, whole genome shotgun sequence.